ensembl:lncRNA
CAUCAGCUGGGAGCGUCUGCUUGACCCUAAAAGUGAAUAUCGGAUGCACCUCCUGCUUGCACUCUACCGAACACCUCUAAUACAAGGGAUAACUUCCUGGUGUUAGUUGAUCCGAUCAACCGGGGGAAAUCAUGCCUUAAGGAAACAGGCCAGAGAGAAGCAUCCCCAAUACGGCAUUAGAGGAAUAUCUCAAAGUUACCAAUCUGCUCAACAUCAACUCCCCAGCAGUGCUAAAUGCAUCUAUGCAACUCUGUACAAUUAUAAGCUGCUUCCUUACUUUUAUUUUCCUUGCCCUCUUGGUCAAUCAAACUUACUGAGUUUUAGGGAAGUUAAUCUCAUUGUAUACUGCUUUAAUUAUUGCUACAUGAAUCAUUCAAGAGGGGGGAAAAAAGCAAGUCUGGUAUAAUAAGAAACUACAAGAACUGACCAUGUAUAUAGCCUUCCAUCUGCUAGCCAAGCUAAAGUCACCAUGAAUUGACAGGUUGUUUGCCCCAAAAUAUAACAGUUGUCUUAAAAAGUAUGAUUUCAAGGUAAGCCAUGUGUGGUGUCUUAUCCAUCUAAUGCACAGGAGGGAAUACAUGAAAACAGCACAUCUCUUGGGAUAUUCCUUGAGGAAAAAAAAAUCAUAAUCAAAUUGUUUGCAAAACACUAAGUACAAAUGGGCCCCUUUUAGAGUUUAAUAAAGAUGACCCAGGUUUCAAAAUAUAUAGAAAUCAUUAUUGUUAAUCCUAUCCUAGUGCAUCAUUUGUCACUGUGAAGGCAUCCCCUUUUUACCUCAAAUAUCUAUUUGAUUCUAGUUUGCCAAAUAUUAAGGUAAAAAAAGAUGAUCCAGGUUUGUGCGGUAAAGAAACCUAUUUAAUUAACUUGGUUUAUCCCCAAAUUUCCCAAACGUAUUUGAUUUGUGCUCUGUCCAAGUUUUAUAGCUGAGGUCAGUGGGAGGUAAGUGGAGGUGUGUGUUUACUUCACAUGGUUGGGGAAGUCAUUUUUUGGCACACCUAUUCAUCUCUGGAAACGCAAAUGUUUUUGCAUGGAAAAUAUUUGAGGGAAAUGUGGAUCUAGAGAUUAAAUUCAUCACAUGUUUACUUACCCUAUCCCUUCUUUCUGAUGCUAUUCCAUUCUAGGUCAGGGGUGGAUAACAUGUGAAUUUGUGAGAAAAAUUCCUAGCAUAACUGCUCACAAAUGGAAAUUGCCACCCCUACCUCACCUCAAGCUGACUAACGCAGUCCAUAAUCUCCUGUAAUAAAAUGAAUCCUCCGUAACUCAAGAUGUUCAAGCAUCACAGAUCAGGCAGGGCUUAUCACUCUAAAGCGUUCACAGACAUUUCCAAGCAUCUAUCUUGUGUGAAGCUCAGUGCAUUCCUAGCCUGUCAGCAGGACACUGGUCUUUGAAGCUCAGAGAAGGUAGGGCCAUGCCAAGAAGGUAUCCAGGGGGGAUGAUGACUCAUGGACCACCAGAGGCUUCCAAGGAAGAGAAUGAGUGGCCAGGCUGGAAGGUGACAGAGACCCUCAAACAAGGUCAUGGGGUGGCACUGCCCUGACCACGUGCGUAGAACCUUAAAUGGGUCUGGAUGGGGUAG